CCUACGGGGGGCAGCAGUGGGGAAUAUUGGACAAUGGGGGCAACCCUGAUCCAGCCAUGCCGCGUGUGUGAAGAAGGCCCUCGGGUUGUAAAGCACUUUCAGUGAGGAAGAACGCCUGGUGGUUAAUACCCAUCAGGAAAGACAUCACUCACAGAAGAAGCACCGGCUAACUCCGUGCCAGCAGCCGCGGUAAUACGGAGGGUGCGAGCGUUAAUCGGAAUUACUGGGCGUAAAGCGCGCGUAGGUGGCUUGAUAAGCCGGUUGUGAAAGCCCCGGGCUCAACCUGGGAACGGCAUCCGGAACUGGCAAGCUAGAGUGCGGGAGAGGAAGGUAGAAUUCCCGGUGUAGCGGUGAAAUGCGUAGAGAUCGGGAGGAAUACCAGUGGCGAAGGCGGCCUUCUGGACUGAAACUGACACUGAGGUGCGAAAGCGUGGGUAGCAAACAGGAUUAGAUACCCGAGUAGUC
rnacentral:rRNA from 1 species